CCUACGGGAGGCAGCAGUAGGGAAUAUUGCUCAAUGGGGGAAACCCUGAAGCAGCAACGCCGCGUGGAGGAUGAAGGUUUUCGGAUUGUUAACUCCUUUUGUUAGAGAAGAUAAUGACGGUAUCUAACGAAUAAGCUCCGGCUAACUCCGUGCCAGCAGCCGCGGUAAUACGGAGGGUGCAAGCGUUACUCGGAAUUACUGGGCGUAAAGAGCGCGUAGGCGGGAUAGCAAGUCAGAUGUGAAAUCCUAUGGCUUAACCAUAGAACUGCAUUUGAAACUGUUAUUCUAGAGUAUGGGAGAGGUAGGUGGAAUUCUUGGUGUAGGGGUAAAAUCCGUAGAGAUCAAGAGGAAUACUCAUUGCGAAGGCGACCUGCUAGAACAUAACUGACGCUGAUGCGCGAAAGCGUGGGGAGCAAACAGGAUUAGAUACCCGAGUAGUC
rnacentral:rRNA from 1 species